rnacentral:rRNA from 1 species
UGGCGGACGGGUGAGUAAUGUCUGGGAAACUGCCUGAUGGAGGGGGAUAACUACUUGAAACGGUAGCUAAUACCGCAUAACGUCGCAAGACCAAAGAGGGGGACCUUCGGGCCUCUUGCCAUCGGAUGUGCCCAGAUGGGAUUAGCUAGUAGGUGGGGUAACGGCUCACCUAGGCGACGAUCCCUAGCUGGUCUGAGAGGAUGACCAGCCACACUGGAACUGAGACACGGUCCAGACUCCUACGGGAGGCAGCAUG